rnacentral:rRNA from 1 species
ACGGAAGGCAGCAGUAGGGAAUCUUCGGCAAUGGGGGCAACCCUGACCGAGCAACGCCGCGUGAGUGAAGAAGGUUUUCGGAUCGUAAAGCUCUGUUGUAAGAGAAGAACGUGUGUGAGAGUGGAAAGUUCACACAGUGACGGUAACUUACCAGAAAGGGACGGCUAACUACGUGCCAGCAGCCGCGGUAAUACGUAGGUCCCGAGCGUUGUCCGGAUUUAUUGGGCGUAAAGCGAGCGCAGGCGGUUUAAUGAGUCUGAAGUUAAAGGCAGUGGCUUAACCAUUGUUCGCUUUGGAAACUGUUCGACUUGAGUGCAGAAGGGGAGAGUGGAAUUCCAUGUGUAGCGGUGAAAUGCGUAGAUAUAUGGAGGAACACCGGUGGCGAAAGCGGCUCUCUGGUCUGUAACUGACGCUGAGGCUCGAAAGCGUGGGGUGCAAACAGGAUUAGAUACCCUGGUA